AACGCAUAUUGCGCCGCGCGGUAUUCCGCGCGGCACGUCCGACCGAGCGCCGCUGCAACGCUCGCAGGCCUCCUGGCAGCGGGAGGGCCCGCGGUGCUGGGGGAACCGAGGCGACCCGGCCCCCCGAAACUCAGCGGCGGCCGAAGCGGCGAGCCCUGGCGUAGUAAGACACACCUCGCCCGGGGGGACCCGUAGCGGCCGGCCAUAACGGGCGCUGCUCGAACAGACCCAAGGAAAAGAGAGUUGGCCUCGGGUCGGACGAGGUUACCCGCUGAACUUAA
rnacentral:misc_RNA from 1 species